rnacentral:rRNA from 1 species
UACGGAGGGGGCUAGCGUUGUUCGGAAUUACUGGGCGUAAAGCGCACGUAGGCGGCUUUGUAAGUUAGAGGUGAAAGCCCGGAGCUCAACUCCGGAAUUGCCUUUAAGACUGCAUCGCUCGAAUCAUGGAGAGGUGAGUGGAAUUCCGAGUGUAGAGGUGAAAUUCGUAGAUAUUCGGAAGAACACCAGUGGCGAAGGCGACUCACUGGACAUGUAUUGACGCUGAGGUGCGAAAGCGUGGGGAG